CCUACGGGUGGCUGCAGUGAGGAAUAUUGGUCAAUGGGCGGAAGCCUGAACCAGCCAUGCCGCGUGCAGGACGACGGCCCUACGGGUUGUAAACUGCUUUUCCGGGGGAAGAAUAACCCCCCUGCGGGGGGGGAUGCCGGUACCCCGGGAAUAAGGAUCGGCUAACUCCGUGCCAGCAGCCGCGGUAAUACGGAGGAUCCUAGCGUUAUCCGGAUUUACUGGGUUUAAAGGGUGCGUAGGCGGGCGUUUAAGUCCGCGGUGAAAGUCUGCGGCUC
rnacentral:rRNA from 1 species